GGUUUCCAAGGUGAUUCAUUCACCACAUGCCAGACAAGUUAGUGUUGGGUAUUAGUAGGAGGCCCAAGUUCUUUGUGGACCCCUCAUUAGGGCUCUUGGAAGUUGACUUCAUCCUGAAUUAGUGAAUCAACAGAUGAUGGAAGGUACAAAGAAAUUAAGAUAACAUGAAGGCAUUUCUUCUAAGAACAAUAAAAGAAAUGUGACAGAAGACACAGGAAAAAGUCCAAAAAUUGCCUCUGGUAUGAAAGGGCUUGCAGUGACAGAAGGAUCUUGCAUCCAAGGAAGAGAGGUGUUAUGAACAGCAUUAAUGAUAAUAAAUCAAGUAUCGAUCAAUCCUGAAAACUAUUGAAGAAACUUUGUAUCCUGCAGCACUAAAUAUUCAACUAAGACUUCACUCUUCUGCAAAGACAAAUAAUUGAACCCAUCUCAUUAACAUGAACAUUUGGUAAAAUUUUGUCUACUGAAAUUGUUUUAAGUAAAUUGGCUUAUGAUUUGC